rnacentral:rRNA from 1 species
CCCUUAGAUGUUCUGGGCUGCACGCGCGCUAUACUGAUGCGUUCAACGAGUGUAUAACCUUACCAGACAUGGUUGGGUAAUCUUCUGAAAACGCAUCGUGAUGGGGAUAGAUUAUUGCAAUUAUUAAUCUUCAACGAGGAAUUCCUAGUAAGCUUCAGUCAUCAGCUGAAACUGAUUACGUCCCUGCCCUUUGUACACACCGCCCGUCGCUUCUACCGAUUGAAUGAUUCGGUGAAUACUUUGGACCGUUGUUUAACAGAGUUCGCUCCGUUUUACGAUGGAAAAUUGGGUAAACCUCAUCAUUUAGAGGAAGAAGAAGUCGUAACA